AGAGCGAACGCUGGCGGCAUGCUUAACACAUGCAAGUCUCACGGGCAGCAAUGUCAGUGGCGGACGGGUGAGUAACGCGUAGGUAUCUAUCCAUGGGUGGGGGAUAACGUCGGGAAACUGACGCUAAUACCGCAUGACAUCUGAGGAUCAAAGGCGCGAGUCGCCUGUGGAGGAGCCUGCGUACGAUUAGCUAGUUGGUGGGGUAAAGGCCUACCAAGGCGACGAUCGUUAGCUGGUCUGAGAGGAUGAUCAGCCACACUGGGACUGAGACACGGCCCAGACUCCUACGGGAGGCAGCAGUGGGGAAUAUUGGACAAUGGGCGAAAGCCUGAUCCAGCAAUGCCGCGUGUGUGAAGAAGGUCUUCGGAUUGUAAAGCACGUUUCGGCGGGGACGAUGAUGACGGUACCCGCAGAAGAAGCCCCGGCUAACUUCGUGCCAGCAGCCGCGGUAA
rnacentral:rRNA from 1 species